CCUACGGGAGGCAGCAGUGGGGAAUAUUGGACAAUGGGCGAAAGCCUGAUCCAGCCAUGCCGCGUGUGUGAAGAAGGCCUUCGGGUUGUAAAGCACUUUAAGCAGAGAAGAAAGGUUGCAGGCUAAUAUCCUGCAGCAUUGACGGUACCUGCAGAAUAAGCACCGGCUAAUUCCGUGCCAGCAGCCGCGGUAAU
rnacentral:rRNA from 1 species